GAUGAACGCUGGCGGCGUGCCUAAUACAUGCAAGUCGAGCGAACGGACGAGAAGCUUGCUUCUCUGAUGUUAGCGGCGGACGGGUGAGUAACACGUGGAUAACCUACCUAUAAGACUGGGAUAACUUCGGGAAACCGUAGCUAAUACCGGAUAAUAUUUUGAACCGCAUGGUUCAAUAGUGAAAGACGGUCUUGCUGUCACUUAUAGAUGGAUCCGCGCUGCAUUAGCUAGUUGGCAAGGUAACGGCUUACCAAGGCAACGAUGCAUAGCCGACCGGAGAGGGGGGUAGGCGACCUGAGAGUGGGAACAGGCACAAGAGGACUGAGGGAGGGAGCAGUAGGGAAUGUGAGGCAAUGGGCGGAAGCAUGACAGAGUAACGGCGAGUGAGAGAUGAAGGUCUUCGGAUCGUAAAACUCUGUUAUGAGGGAAGAACAGAUGUGUAAGUAACUGUGCAGGUCUUGACGGUAAUUAAUCAGAAAGCAACGGCUAACUACGUG
rnacentral:rRNA from 1 species